rnacentral:rRNA from 1 species
AUAUAUGUUAAGUGGAAAAGGAUGUGGCGUUGCCCAGACAACUAGGAUGUUGGCUUAGAAGCAGCCAUCAUUUAAAGAGUGCGUAAUAGCUCACUAGUCGAGUGACACUGCGCCGAAAAUGUACCGGGGCUAAACAUAUUACCGAAGCUGUGGAUUGUCCUUUGGACAAUGGUAGGAGAGCGUUCUAAGGGCGUUGAAGCAUGAUCGUAAGGACAUGUGGAGCGCUUAGAAGUGAGAAUGCCGGUGUGAGUAGCGAAAGACGGGUGAGAAUCCCGUCCACCGAUUGACUAAGGUUUCCAGAGGAAGGCUCGUCCGCUCUGGGUUAGUCGGGUCCUAAGCUGAGGCCGACAGGCGUAGGCGAUGGAUAACAGGUUGAUAUUCCUGUACCACCUAUAAUCGUUUUAAUCGAUGGGGGGACGCAGUAGGAUAGGCGAAGCGUGCGAUUGGAUUGCACGUCUAAGCAGUAAGGCUGAGUAUUAGGCAAAUCCGGUACUCGUUAAGGCUGAGCUGUGAUGGGGAGAAGACAUUGUGUCUUCGAGUCGUUGAUUUCACACUGCCGAGAAAAGCCUCUAGAUAGAAAAUAGGUGCCCGUACCGCAAACCGACACAGGUAGUCAAGAUGAGAAUUCUAAGGUGAGCGAGCGAACUCUCGUUAAGGAACUCGGCAAAAUGACCCCGUAACUUCGGGAGAAGGGGUGCUCUUUAGGGUUAACGCCCAGAAGAGCCGCAGUGAAUAGGCCCAAGCGACUGUUUAUCAAAAACACAGGUCUCUGCUAA